CCUACGGGAGGCAGCAGUGGGGAAUAUUGGGCAAUGGGCGAAAGCCUGACCCAGCAACGCCGCGUGAAGGAAGAUGGCUUUCGGGUUGUAAACUUCUUUUGACAGGGAAGAGCAGAAGACGGUACCUGUCGAAUAAGCCUCGGCUAACUACGUGCCAGCAGCCGCGGUAAUACGUAGGUGGCAAGCGUGGUCCGGGUUUAGUGGGUGUAAAGGGCGUGUAGGCGGGCUGACAAGCCAGAUGUGAAAUCCGGGGGCUCAACCCCCGAACUGCCUUUGAAACUGGUGGUCUUGAGUAUCGGAGAGGCAGGCGGAAUUCCUAGUGUAGCGGUGAAAUGCGUAGAUAUUAGGAGGAACACCGAGGGCGAAGGCAGCCUGCUGGAGGGCAACUGACGGUGAGGCGCGAAGGCGUGGGGAGCGAACAGGAUUAGAUACCCGAGUAGUC
rnacentral:rRNA from 1 species